AACGAACGCUGGCGGCAGGCUUAACACAUGCAAGUCGAACGCAUCCUUCGGGGUGAGUGGCAGACGGGGGAGUAACGCGUGGGAACGUGCCCUUCAGUUCGGAAUAACCCAGGGAAACUUGGGCUAAUACCGGAUACGUGCGAGAGCAGAAAGAUUUAUCGCUGAAGGAUCGGCCCGCGUCUGAUUAGCUAGUUGGUGAGGUAAUGGCUCACCAAGGCGACGAUCAGUAGCUGGUCUGAGAGGAUGAUCAGCCACAUUUGGAAUGGGACACGGCCCAAACUCCUACGGGAGGCAGCAGUGGGGAAUAUUGGACAAUGGGCGCAAGCAUGAUCCAGCCAUGCCGCGUAAGUGAUGACGGCCUUAGGGUUGUAAAGCUCUUUCGUCCGGGACGAUAAUGACGGUACCGGAAGAAGAAGCCCCGGCUAACUUCGUGCCAGCCGCCGCCGUAAUAC
rnacentral:rRNA from 1 species